rnacentral:tRNA from 1 species
GCCGAAGUGGUGGAAUUGGUAGACACAGGGGACUUAAAAUCCCCCGGCCUAAUACGCUGUGCCGGUUCGAUUCCGGUCUUCGGCA